AAUAAACUCCAGGCGUUUCCGCCCAAGGAAGGCAGCCUGGUCUCCUUCCCUGCGUUUCCCCGCGGGCUGCCGUCUCGAGGUGACUCAGGAGGAAGCUGCCGUCCCCAGUUCCUCCUCAGCACUCCAGCUGGUCUUCGGAUUCGGGAAGAUCAUAAGCUAAUUGUCCGGUGAUGAACUGCAGCCAGCGAAGCCAAUGACCUGCACCUGGGCGGACACUCAGCCUGCGGAAACGCGGGAGCUGCGGGAGGGAGGCCGAGCACCGGCCGAGCCGACUUCCGGCCGCAGAGGCUGCCGGGUAGGGGUUAUGGCGGUCUCCAGAGUCAGCUGGCACGGUGUCCGGAGCCACUUGGGACACUGCGGAUGGAGAGCGCUGGUUCUCAACACCAGAAUCAAACUCCAGCUGCCGGAAGCCUUUGGGCAGAGUCAUUCUAUCAAGCAUCAUGAUGGUAGGGACCCAGGAAAACUGUCACCAUGUGGCUGCCUCCAGGUGGUACAAUUAUGCGAGCAGCCCCAAUAACAUCCGUGCAGACAUUCCUGGAGGAGAAGCGACCUUUGGGCUCCUCUCUGUCUUAGGUUCGGAUCACAGAUGUGACUUUAGGGUUAGAUCGAAAGGCAUUCUCGUCUUCAAGCCCACACCGCUGCUAUCAGCCUGUCACGUUCGUCAAGAGAAAUACGUGCAAUUAACAGAGGAGACGGGGCUGGCGGCAGCCAAUUAUAACGAACACAUCAGAUUCCAGUAGCGCGGCACAAACACACUUGCCCAUUGAUUUUUGGCACCUGUGCCUCUCAGGGCCUGUUUUCUACCCCUUCAGGGACCUUUGUAAAAUGUCAGUUCUUGCGCCUUUCCUGAGCGUGCACACACCGUGUUCACUCUGUGACACACCUGGGUCGUGUGGACAGAGAAACGGUGUUUUCUGCUGCUAAUGUUUGCUUUCUUUGACUCUUCUCUGGUGCACAAUGUAAAACUUAAAAGCAGCGCACGGCCGGGCAUGGUGGCUCACACCUGUAAUCCCAGCACUUUGGGAGGCCCAGGCGGGCAGAUCACAAGAUCAGGAGAUCGAGACCAUCCUGGCUAACAUGGUGAAACCCCAUCUCUACUGAAAAUACAAAAAAUUAGCUCAGUGUGGUGGCACAUGCCUGUAGUCCCAGCUCCUUGGGAGGUUGAGGCAGGAGAAUGGCUUCAACCUGGGAAGCCGAGGUUGCAGUAAGCCGAGAUCACGCGAUUGUACUCCAGCCUGAGUGACACAGUGAGACUCCAGCUCAAAAAAAAAAAAAAAAAAAACGCAGUGGCGUGGUGGCUCAUGCCUAUAAUCCCAGUAGUUUGAGAGGCCCAGGCAGGCCGAUUACCUGAGGUCAGGAGUUCAAGACCAGCCUGGACAACAUGGCAAAACUCCAUCUCUACUAAAAAUACAAAAAUUAGCCAGGCAUGGUGGUGCAUGCCUGUAAUCCCAGCUACUUGGGAGGCUGAGGCAGUAGAAUUGUUUGACCUCUGUUUGGCUGAGGCAGGCAGAGGUUGCAGUGAGCAGAGACAGCGCCACUGCACUCCAGCCGGGUGACAGAACGAGACUCCUUCUCAAAAAAAAUAAGAAUGAAGGAAAAGAAGUGUAUACAGAACUAACGCCCUGAAGCCAGAGCCAAGAGAUGAAGCGAAGGCACUCAUCAUGGCCUGUGAUCCCUGCAUGCCGGGGUCGGGGGAGGGGACCCACAGCCGAGCUGGAGCCCCUUCCCCGCUUCCCUGGCUUUGUGGGCGGUGGCCAGCCAGCCACUAGAACACCCUCAGAGAUGGGUCCCUCAUUCCAGAGCUUUCCAAUGGGGUCCCAUUUGAUCCCAUGACCAAACAGACUGAGUGAACCCAGCUCCCGAAUGUGCCUCCCACACCCCGGGCUCUGCCCACCAAGCGCUGGCGGGGCAACUUCAUUCUGUGCCCCCCGGAAGCAACCCCCCCAUCUGUGCGGUUCCUCCCUCAAUCCCCUCUUGGGACCUGACCCCAGCUCGAACUCAGUGAAGCUUUUUUGAGUAGAGUCACAGCAGAUGCUUGGGGAGAGCUCCUGACACGGAAACUCGGGUGAGCCCCAAGCCCUGCCGGCUCCUGGAGCCUCUGGAAUGUUCCCCAACAGAACGAACAGCUCUGCGCCUGACGCUGGGUCUCGUGUCGCUCAGUGGUGUUCCAGGUCAGUUGUGCAUCUGGGUCCACACGGCCUCCGGGGUAGGGGCCAUUGCCUGCGGGGCCAGGGCAGGCCAGACGCAGGUUCUUGGGGAGGGAAAUGUUGAGAGCAGGACGGGCUGAACGUGUGGGUGCAUUUCUUCCCCUGCAGUCGCCAAAGGAAAAUCGCAAUAGCGGUUACUCCAGGGACUGGGGCACUUGUACAUAAUUAGAGCAAAUGGCAGCUGCUUGAGGGGGCUUUCAGGCGAGGGGCCAGAACAUUUUUCUCUUCUUUCUUUUCUUUUUUUACAUAGAGUUUUGCUCUUGUUGCCCAGGCUGGAGUGCAAAGGCGUGAUCUCUGCUCACUGCAACCUCUGCCUCCCAGGUUCAAGCCAUUCUCCUGCCUCAGCCUCCCAAGUAGUUGGGAUUACAGGUGCAAGCUAUCAUGCCCAGCCAAUUUUUGUAUUUUUAGUAGAGACCACGUUGUAUUUUAGUAGAGACCAUGUUGGCCAGGCUGGUCUCAGUCUCCUGAUUUCAUGAUCUUUCCACCUCAGCCUCCCAAAGUGCUGGGAUUACAGGUGUGAGCCUCCACGCCCAGCCACCCAGCUAAUUUUUUUAUAUUUUUGGUAGAGACAGAGUUUUGCUGAGUUGGUCAGGCUGGUCUCGAACUCCUGACCUCAAGUGAUCAACCCGCCUUAGCCUCCCAAAGUGCUGGAAUUACAGGCAUGAGCCACCAGACUUGGCCUUUUUUUAAAAAUAAUUAAAUUUUCUUUUGUUUUCUGAGACAGGGUCUUGCUGUGUCGCCCAGGCUGGAGUGCAGUGGUGCAAUCUUGGCUCAUUGCAGCCUCUACCUCCGGACCUCAAGCAGUUCUCCCACCCUAGCUUCCUGAUAGCUGGGACAAUAGGCAUGCGCCACUAUGCCUGGCUCAUUUCUGUAUUUUCUGUAUAGACGAGGUCUCACCAUGUUGCCCAGGCUGGUCUCGAACUCCUGGGCUCAAAGUGACCCACCUGCCUCAGCCUCCCCAAGUGCUAGGAUUAUAGGCAUGAGCCACAGUGAACUGUUACAGUGAACUUUACCAAGAGGGUUAAAGAGACAUCAGAUGCCGUCAAUUCUUUGCAAAUGUUGUGCCCGAUAGACACCUGUGAACUAUCUCUUUUCACCGAUGCUAGGUCCCACCCCCACAAAUUCUGGUUCUAUUGGUCUCAGGUGUGACAGUGGGUGGGGCGGGGGGGGGAGCUUAAAGCUCCCAGGGGAUUCUAAUUUGUAGCCAGGCCUAGAACCUCCGCCCUGGGGCCUGCUGCCCACAGUCUGCUCCCGAGAGUCCUCGGAGGGCAGAGAGCAGGCAGUCAAGGAAGGCUUCUUGGAGGAGGAGUGAAGAGGUGGCAGAGAGUAUUCCAGGCAGAGAGUAUUCCAAGCACAGGGUAGGGUUCAAGAGGAGGCACAGAACAAAAAGCAGCAUCAAGGGGCAGGAAAGAACAAGCUUGAUGUUCCUGGAUGUCAGAGCUGGGAUACUGUGUAUGCAAAUUAGAGAAGACCCAGCCUAAACAGGCUGUGUGCACAGGGAUCUCACUGGUGUCAGCAUCAGCCCCAAGCAGGGAGCUGGUUUAAAACACAGGACCUCAGUCUCCUCCCAGGCCCCUUGAAUUGGAAUCUGCAUUUUAACAAGAUUCCCGGGCCAUUCGUUCGCUCACUGUUUGAGAAGCACGACUUUAGAAGAUGAGAAAUAGGGCCAGGCAUGUUGGUUCACGCCUGUAAUCCAAGUACUUUGGAGACCAAGGCGGGCGGAUCACCUGAGGUUGUGAGUUCAAGACCAGCCUGACCAACAUGGUGAAACCCCGUCUUUAAAAAAAGAAAAAGAAAAAGAUGAGAAAUGGAACCUAAAAUUUAAGCAUAUCGUUUUCGUUUUCUUUUUUUGAGAGUAUCGCUCUGUCACCCAGGCUGGAGUAUAGUGCCACAAUCUUGGCUCACUGCAACCUCCGCCUUCCAAGUUCAAGCGAUUCUCCUGCCUCAGUCUCCCGAGUAGCUGGGAUUGCAGGUGCCUGCCACCAGGCCCAGCUAAUUUUUGUAUUUUUAUAGAGAUGGGGUUUCUCCUUGUUGGCCAGGCUGGUCUCAAACUCCUGGCCUCAGGUGAUCCACCCACGUUGGCCUCCCAAAGUGCUGGGAUUCCAGAAGUGAGCCACCGCGCCUGGCUUUUCUUCUCUUUUUUACAAACUGGCACAGCCCAUACUGUAUCUGCAAAUCACGUCUCGCCGGUCUUCUCGUCUCUGCGUACAAGUCACAGGAGCUACUUCAUGUUGGAUGAUGACACAACCCAAAUUUCUCCCUCUUUGCCCUCUGAUCAGUAAGUCACCGUCUCUUCUAUCUGUGUACAUCAGCAUAGUGUGCUGCAGGAAUCCUGGAAUGAGUUGGGCUAAUCAGUAUAGAAAGAAAAUCAGUUUGCAAUUGAUCAUUUGGAGUCUGAAAUCCGGGGCUCAGGCGAUUCUCCCCACUCAGCCUUCUGAGUAGCUGGAACUACAAGCACACACCACCGUCCUGGCUAAAGUUUCACUUUUGUUCUGUUUUACGAUCUGGGCUCACUGCAACCUCCACCUCCCGGAUUCAAGCAAUUCUCCUACCUCAGCCCCCAGAGUAGCUGGGAUUACAGGCAUGUGCCACCAAGCCGGGCUAUUUUUAUUUUUAUUUAUUUUUAUUUAUUUUUUUUUUUUUGAGACGGAGUCUCGCUGUUGUUACCCAGACUGGAGUGCAAUGGCGCCAUCUCAGCUCACCGCAACCUCCGCCUCCUGGGUUCAGGCAAUUCUCCUGCCUCAGCCUCCCGAGCAGCUGGGAUUACAGGCACGCGCCACCAUGCCCAGCUAAUUUUUGUAUUUUUAGUAGAGCCGGGUUUCACCUUGUUGACCAGGAUGGUCUCAAUCUCUUGACCUCGUGAUCCACCCACCUCAGCCUCCUGAAGUGCUGGGAUUAUAGGGUGAGCCAUCGCGCCCAGCCUAUUUUUAUAUUUUUAAUAGAGACGGGGUUUCACCAUGUUGGCCAGGCUGGUCUUGAACUCCUGACCUCAAGUGAUCCACCUAUUUUGGCCUCCCAAAGUGCUGGGAUUACAGGCAUGAGCCACAGCACCUGGCCAUCCGGGGCUGUUUCUAAGCUCAUGGUGAGUCUGGCAGUGAUCUCCCCAGGGACCAAGGGAUUCCUGAUUAUGCGUCCUCCAGCUUGUCCAGCUGGCCACGACUCUGGGCCCUUAGCUGAGCUCUCCCCAGGCCUGCACGAAUCCCCCAACUGUGCUCCUGACAAACAGGACCAGCCAGUGAUGGAUGCCUAGCGCCCCCGAUCAUCCCUGCACAAGGGAGCUGCCCCAGUUCCCAGCCAGAGUCCAGACAGUGAAACCAGGGGCCAGACAGUCUCCAGAUGCUUCUCCCCAAAACCCCGGCGUGCUUGGCAGGAGUCCCCUCCCCUGCUGCACAGCUGCCCGUCCUCAGCAGGAGACCAGCUUUCCAUCAGAUAGGCUGUGGUCCUCCCUCGUGAGAGACGGAAAAGACGAUAGCAUCUGACCGUGGGAGGCUGUCAGGUCCGUCCAGCUCUCCCCCUGCACACGGGGCCGGCCCAGGAGUGCUGGGAGCAGAGAGGAGAACAAGAUCGGCGAUUGUUCUUUGGUGACGGUGACGGUGACGGAGCUGGCUUCCCGUCACCAGAACACUUGCAAAUGAAAUCCUGCUGGCAACAGUUUUGCAUUAA